rnacentral:rRNA from 1 species
GAUGAACGCUGGCGGCGUGCCUAAUACAUGCAAGUCGAGCGAACGGACGAGAAGCUUGCUUUUCUGAUGUUAGCGGCGGACGGGUGAGUAACACGUGGAUAACCUACCUAUAAGACUGGGAUAACUUCGGGAAACCGGAGCUAAUACCGGAUAAUAUUUUGAACCGCAUGGUUCAAAAGUGAAAGACGGUCUUGCUGUCACUUAUAGAUGGAUCCGCGCUGCAUUAGCUAGUUGGUAAGGUAACGGCUUACCAAGGCAACGAUGCAUAGCCGACCUGAGAGGGUGAUCGGCCACACUGGAACUGAGACACGGUCCAGACUCCUACGGGAGGCAGCAGUAGGGAAUCUUCCGCAAUGGGCGAAAGCCUGACGGAGCAACGCCGCGUGAGUGAUGACGGUCUUCGGAUCGUAAAACUCUGUUAUGAGGGAAGAACAUAUGUGUAAGUAACUGUGCACAUCUUGACGGUACCUAAUCAGAAAGCCACGGCUAACUACGUG